rnacentral:RNase_P_RNA from 1 species
AGCAGCCCCGCCAACCACCAACGGGCCCCGAAAGGGGGUCUGAGGAAACACCACACACCCCACGGCACCACGGCCCCGAAAGGGGCACGGCGAGUAGCCGUGGCAACGGCACAGAAACGACACGGCCACCCCCGGAUGGCUAUGAGGCGGCGUGGGUCCUCCGGCAACGGAGGGCCAGAUAACCCGCUGAUGGACGGCGGGUGGAUGCGUUGAAACGGCCGGUCCCGUGGGGUGCAAGGCCUUGUUUUCCGGGAUGAGUCGCCGUGUGAUCCGGGAGGUUGGCCGCUUAGUCGAAUGUGGCUAGUACUGAAUGUGGGUUAUGGCGGGGCUGCU